UGGGGAAUAUUGCACAAUGGGCGCAAGCCUGAUGCAGCAACGCCGCGUGAGGGACGACGGCCUUCGGGUUGUAAACCUCUUUUAGUAGGGAAGAAGCGAAAGUGACGGUACCUGCAGAAAAAGCACCGGCUAACUACGUGCCAGCAGCCGCGGUAAUACGUAGGGUGCAAGCGUUAUCCGGAAUUAUUGGGCGUAAAGAGCUCGUAGGCGGUUUGUCGCGUCUGCUGUGAAAACUGGAGGCUCAACCUCCAGCCUGCAGUGGGUACGGGCAAACUAGAGUGCGGUAGGGGAGAUUGGAAUUCCUGGUGUAGCGGUGGAAUGCGCAGAUAUCAGGAGGAACACCGAUGGCGAAGGCAGAUCUCUGGGCCGUAACUGACGCUGAGGAGCGAAAGCAUGGGGAGCGAAC
rnacentral:rRNA from 1 species